rnacentral:rRNA from 1 species
AUUGAACGCUGGCGGCAUGCUUUACACAUGCAAGUCGAACGGCAGCGCGGGCUUCGGUCUGGCGGCGAGUGGCGAACGGGUGAGUAAUGCAUCGGAACGUGCCCAGUAGUGGGGGAUAGCCCGGCGAAAGCCGGAUUAAUACCGCAUACGAACUGAGGGUGAAAGCGGGGGACCGAAAGGCCUUGCGCCAUUGGAGCGGCCGAUGUCGGAUUAGCUAGUUGGUGGGGUAAAGGCGUACCAAGGCGACGAUCCGUAGCUGGUCUGAGAGGACGACCAGCCACACUGGGACUGAGACACGGCCCAGACUCCUACGGGAGGCAGCAGUGGGGAAUUUUGGACAAUGGGGGCAACCCUGAUCCAGCCAUGCCGCGUGCGGGAAGAAGGCCUUCGGGUUGUAAACCGCUUUUGUUCGGGAAGAAAUCCUCUGGGCUAAUACCCCGGGGGGAUGACGGUACCGGAAGAAUAAGCACCGGCUAACUACGUG